GCCCAGGUGGUGGAAUUGGUAGACACGACGGUCUUAGAAGCCGUUGCCUUUGGCGUAAGAGUUCAAGUCUCUUCCUGGGCACCA
rnacentral:tRNA from 1 species